CCGACGUUCGGCUGCGCUGCUUUCAGCGUGAAAAUUAAACGCCGGAAAGUCGCUCGGACACUGCCUACGAAGACGGAAUAAUCUUGCACAAUGCCGGCGUGUUCGCCGCCUUCAAGGAACUGCCCAUAUCGGUGUACGCUUGGAUGCCUCAUCACUCUGAACCUACCUCAAGUCAGCGUAGAAUGUGUCAUCACUGAAAGCAAGCUCAUGGGCCAAAAUCCUCGGAAGAAAACUGCACUAAAGAGAGACCAUUGAUUUCCAAGCUACCGACAUCCAGUCGUUAGAAGCUCUACAGUUGCCAUAGUGACAACCACACGCACCACCAAUAUGCCUGGCGGACAAAUGGAAGCCUUAUACUGAAAAGCAGUGAUAGUGUACGGUAUGUUCAAGUUGUACGAAAUUGGUUGCACAGAUUGUUGUUUCUUGCUUUAUGAAUUACUCAGUUUACAGGAAAUGUGCAGGCUUCAAUAUUCUUGGAUAGUGCAUACUGUACUUCACUCAAUGUGUCAAACUUUGCAUAGAGUAUCACAUAUAACUAGGUAACAAAUGGGCUUUUGGUAGUGCAUAUUUAGCAGCACUUCUUUUUCACAUUGUGUAUAGAUUGCUGUGAAUGUAAUGACUGUUGCAAGGCGGUGGUAGAUACAGCUAUAGUAGUGUUGAAACAGUUACUGAUACCGUGUGCAUGUUGGGAGUGACCUUAUAAAAGUUCUAAAAAAAAAGACUAUCAUCUUAAAAAACUGUGCAAGAACUCGUGCCUCCAUUAAGCAAGACAUGUAUUGCAGUGGUAGAAACCACGGAGUCAAACCAUGAGAGUAAAAUACCUAGAAGAAUAGGGAAGAAUAAGAAUGGGUGGAUCACAUUCGACAAGCAUUCUCGAAUCAUUAAUGAUAAUCUGUCACUAACCCUCAAGAGGAUGAUAUAUAACAGCUACGUCUUGCCCGCACUUACCUACAGAGCAGAAACCUGGAGGCUUACAAAAAGGGUUCAGUUUAAAUUGAGGACGACGCAGCGAGCGAUGGAAAGGAAAAUGAUGGGUGUAACCUUAAGACACAAGAAAAGAGCAGAGUGGGUCAGAGAACAAAUCUUUGUUGAGGAUAUCGUAGAUGAAAUCAAGAAGUAGAAAUGGACAUGGGUUGGGCUCGUAGUACGCAGGCAGAAUAACUGCUGGUCAUUAAAGGGCCAGAAACCAAGCCCCAUACCGAAUUUUAGUAAGACAGUGGAAG